GAUGAACGCUGGCGGCGUGCCUAAUACAUGCAAGUCGAGCGAACAGACGAGGAGCUUGCUCCUCUGACGUUAGCGGCGGACGGGUGAGUAACACGUGGAUAACCUACCUAUAAGACUGGGAUAACUUCGGGAAACCGGAGCUAAUACCGGAUAAUAUAUUGAACCGCAUGGUUCAAUAGUGAAAGACGGUUUUGCUGUCACUUAUAGAUGGAUCCGCGCCGCAUUGGCUAGUUGGUAAGGUAACGGCUUACCAAGGCAACGAUGCGUAGCCGACCUGAGAGGGUGAUCGGCCACACUGGAACGGAGACACGGUCCAGACUCCUACGGGAGGCAGCAGUAGGGAAUCUUCCGCAAUGGGCGAAAGCCUGACGGAGCAACGCCGCGUGAGUGAUGAAGGUCUUCGGAUCGUAAAACUCUGUUAUUAGGGAAGAACAAAUGUGUAAGUAACUAUGCACGUCUUGACGGUACCUAAUCAGAAAGCCACGGCUAACUACGUG
rnacentral:rRNA from 1 species